GCCUACGGGACGCAGCAACGCCGCGUGCAGGAAGAAGGUCUUCGGAUUGUAAACUGUUGUCGCAGGGGAAGAAGACAGUGACGGUACCCUGUGAGAAAGUCACGGCUAACUACGUGCCAGCAGCCGCGGUAAUACGUAGGUGACAAGCGUUGUCCGGAUUUACUGGGUGUAAAGGGCGCGUAGGCGGAUGUGCAAGUCAGUCGUGAAAUACCGGGGCUCAACCCCGGGGCUGCGAUUGAAACUGCACACCUUGAGUAUCGGAGAGGAAAGCGGAAUUCCUAGUGUAGCGGUGAAAUGCGUAGAUA
rnacentral:rRNA from 1 species